rnacentral:rRNA from 1 species
GUUCUAUGGAUUUAUAAUUUUAGAUUUGGCCUGCUCUAUGAUUUUAAAUGGCUGCGGUAUUUUAACUGUACUAAGGUAGCAUAAUAAUUUGUCUUUUAAUUGAAGGCUAGAAUGAAUGGUUUGAUGAAAAAUUUUCUUUCUUUAUUUAAUAUUUUGAAUUUGAUUUUUUAGUUAAAAAGCUUAAAUGUUUAUAUGGGACGAGAAGACCCUAUAGAAUUUUAUUUAAUAAAUUUAAUUAUGUUUUUGUUUAUUUUUUAAUUAUUUUGAUUUGAAUUUUGUUGGGGUGAUUUAAAAAUUUUUAUAACUUUUUAUUUAUUUUACAUUAAUUUGUGUUUUUUUGAUCCUAAAAUUUAGAUUAUAAGAUUAAAUUACCUUAGGGAUAACAGCGUAAUUUAUUUGGAGAGUUCGUAUCGAUAAAUAAGUUUGCGA